rnacentral:rRNA from 1 species
AAUCAACGCUGGCGGCGUGCCUCAGACAUGCAAGUCGAACGCGAAAGUCCCCUUCGGGGGACAAGUAGAGUGGCGCACGGGUGAGUAACACGUAGGUAAUCUACCUUCGGAUGGGGAAGUAACAACCGGAAACGGUUGCUAAUACCGCAUAAUGCAGCGGCACCUAAUGGUGACAGUUGUUAAAGCGGGGGAUCGAAAGACCCCGCGUCUGAAGAGGAGCCUGCGGCGGAUUAGCUAGNGGUAAGGUAAUGGCUUACCAAGGCGACGAUCCGUAGCCGGCCUGAGAGGGCGGUCGGCCACACUGACACUGACAUACGGGUCAGACUCCUACGGGAGGCAGCAGUCGGGAAUUUUGGGCAAUGGGCGAAAGCCUGACCCAGCAACGCCGCGUGAA